rnacentral:lncRNA from 1 species
UUUCUAAUUCAGCUCUUUUAGCCUUAGAUUUGAAAUAGUCUUUGAAUUCCGUUGGAAUCUUCAACUUUUCGAACUUUUGUGAGUAACCGUGUCAGAGUUUCACUGGGGGGAACCGGAACCAGGUAGGAGAAAUCUGAUCAGAGCCUUGGGAAUCCUACCCCAGGGUAAAAUUAUUAUAAAAUGAAUAGGUUGUGGGAUCCACACUAGUCCUUUUAAAUUAUAGCGAGUUAGUAGAAGAUGGGUUGGCAACUUAUAAACACAAUGGUGGUUAUGUAUGAAGAUUGAGAAAAGAUUUAUCUAAUUUGCUCUCCUUUAAGAACCAUGCCGUGCAAUGGAUUUAUAAAUUACAAAAUAAUUGUUGCUUGGGUUUAUUUCCAUUAGUGUUUCUUUAAGUGGUUUUAGUGGCACCAACAGGUGACAUGACCACAUAUACGAUGACACCUCGGAGUUGGAGGGAAGACGUUCCGAUGUGCUCCCUCUUUACCUUCAGGUGUCAGGAUCUACAUUAAUGUUGUAAUCUUGCAAGAGUACAAAAUGAGGCCUUACAACUCUAAAGUGACAGCUCCACUUCAACCCAAAUUUCUUAUAGAGUUGAAACUGAUUACCCAGUGUGUACAGUAAUAUGAUCGAUAUGAUUUAUAUAGCUUUACAAACAUUACAAUGAGAAUACAUCUGACCGCUACAUACUACAAUUAUUUAGACAUCCAUAAAAAUGAAAUAGAAUGGUAUAAUAAACAUUUAUUGUGGUAAUGUCCCUGUAGACAUUUAAAGUAUUGUCACACAAAAAUAACUCCUGGAAGUCCACACAAAUACAAUAAAUAUAUAUAAUCUGUCCAUGUGCCAAAAAAAGUUAAAUAGACUCAGCUACAGACACUAAAUAUAGUGUAUUUUUAAUUGUAGGUUUGGUAACUUUUAUUUUCAAACGAGUUAUUAAACAGAUUGAUGUUUGGGGGAAACAAAGGGAUGGUGAACCUAGUGUGUGUGUGUGUGUGUGUGUGUGUGUGUGUGUGUGUGUGUAUAUAUAUAUAUAUAUAUUUAUGUAUACCAAAAAAUGUAUUUAGUAGGAGACAGCUUCAUCUAUAUUUUUUAAGUGCCAGAAGUGUAAGCAACACCGUUUUUGCUGUAAUAGUUAGGUGCUUCUAAAUACAUUGCAAACCAACCUGACACUCAUGGUUUGCAUAUAAUAAGCUUAGUAAAUGCCAAUAUAGACAUUGUGCAGAACCUUUUUUUUAUUAUUAUUAAUUUGAUCCUGAACAGUUGAGAAUUGCAAAAUUCUCUACAAAACAUGAUACAAUUUGUACCUUUUUUGCCCAACCUCACUGGCUUUCAGAAUGCAAUUUGGCAAAUUGGAAAAUUUCCUGCUUGUAUACAUCCACAAAUCAAUGUCAAACCAGGCGGCACAUGCAGUUUUGGAGACUACAAUCUGCAUAAUGACAACAUUUCACCUCCCACUGGAACAUUUGUGUACUGGUAAUUGCUAGGAGAUGAUGCUGUCUGAAGUAGUACAUAUUUUCUGUUCUUUUAAGUUACUAAAUUAAGAUUGGGCAGACAUGAAAGCCUUGCCAUCCACCUGUUUCAAACCUACAACUCCUGUGCCCUCUGCCAGCUGGCUGUCUGAGUCCACUGGGAGUUAAAGGCUAAAAGCAGCCGUAAAUCUAUAACUGACCAAACACAAGCCAGGUUUCUAUACCAGUAUACCAAGAAAACCGUGCAUUCAGAAAUGCAGGCUCCCAGCUAAACCCUCCAGAUUAAUAACAUUUUAGCUAUAAAUCUAAACGUAACUGCACAUCAUGGUGCCGUGCCUUUGUCUAUUUUUUUUAUCAGUAGCAACUUAUAGACACCUAAAUAGUUUUUGUUCUGGAGUAAUCUUGCCACGGGAUGUGUACCAACCUCCAUAAACCACCCACGGCCUUGCUUUUACUAACCGCAAAUCUGAAACCUCAAUAUUGACAUGCAACUGCAGGUAACUAGUAAACAAUGCUGUUCUAUGAGACUGCACAGGAUCUAUAUGCUGUGUGAUUGCUGUUUUAGAAUAGGUAAAAAAAAAAAAAAAGUAAAAAUGCAAGUUUUCCUCGAAGAAAACACACACUCAUCUGCAGCUUGUGCUAUUUAAAUCGCUUUACUGUCAAUAAAGUCUUCAAUAUCCAUUAUAACUACUUUCUUAGACGAUUAGGUUUAUGCUCAAAUGAUCAACUUUAAAAUAAAUCUGAAUUGAAAGAAAAUGGACUCUUAAGUGCUUGCGGGUGUCUUACAGGUUUGAUCAAAGCUUUGAUACUGAAUAUGAAUAUGUAUGUGAAAACAAAAAUGUGUGGAUAGCUCAACAAAUGUAGUUUAGAAUAAUGUUCCUUACUCCCUUUGCCUAAAAACUCGGUCUUUAUAAUCUUCCAGACUCAUAACUGUGUGACUUUUAAGAAAUGUUUACUGUAUGGUACCAUUUAGUAACUCUUUAUUUCCAUAGACUCUAAUGCAGUUGCAAAAUUAUUUUUUAUUUUUAUUUUGUUUGUUGCUAUGCUCUUGGUUACAGUUAAUCUACAUCAUUUCAAUCUGUCGAUCAUUUAAAAAAAAAAAAAAAACUUUCAUGUGAACCUCUUAUGUCUCUUUCAAAAGUCAAGAUUUUCUCUUGGAAACUAAUAUAAAACGCUAGAACCUUACAGUUGCUCUCUGUGAAUUACUUUUACUUAUUUUUUUAGCUAAUAAAUUGAAUUCUUGUUUUCGUUUAUUCCGAUAAGAAAGAAAAAUGGGUUGUUGAAUUUAAUGUAAUACUGCAGAAGAGAAACCUUAACAAAUUGUGCAAGUAGAAACCUGCAUAGUGUAUAAUCACAAUGCUCUGUGUGACGAUUGUGAAUUGCGUUGGCUCACACCGAAUGUACCUUGUUUUAAGUUUUGUGGUAUUGUUUUCUGUACUGCUUCAGUCCAUUGCAAAGCCUAGAACAGCCUGGUGUUCCUGGUAGAAACAAAAAAGAACAUACAACAGCGAAAGAAUUUUCAAUUCACAAAUCAAAAUUUGGCAACCUUUCUGUCAAUUUUGUUAAACUGGUUAUUUUAUAAUAUAAAAAGUUACUGUAACCUUGUAAUGUUAUUUGCACUUUCAUAAUAUAUACUUGAUACAUUCCCACUUUAUAUACAGUAGGAUAUAAUUAUGUAGAUGUUUGGCCAAAUGAAUGCUGUUCAUAAAAUGAAAAAAAAAUUCUGAUUAAAACAUUUAUAAGUAAACCAUUUUCACUUUGUUUCAUUACACUUUAAUAUUUUUUUGUUUUGUUUUGUUAAAUUUUUCAUUUGUUAUACAUUUUCAAUCUGGUGAAUGGAAAAUAGAUUCGUUGGUGCGAAGUGUUUCUAAAUAUGUAUGCGUUUUUUGGGGUUGUGUAUAAAAAGUGUUUACAUUUUA